CGAUGGGUGAAGUAAAUGGGAUAUUAAAUGAGGGAAGAAUUUGACAACAUUAUGGCCUAAAUGACUGAUUCAACAUAGUUAGUUACAGUCAGGGGCGGUUCUACACAUGGGCCUAAAGCGGAACUAAUGGGACUCAGCGUUCUACACGGAUUAAUUACAACGACGCAUCCAAAGACUACCUUGCCAAAUGAGAGAUGAGAACGGCAGCAACAAGUCAAGAGAGAAGUCAAAAGAGGAGCUACUAAUGUAUUGUUGCAAGAAGAGGUUGCACGUAACCUUGUUACUGUUCCUAUCUAAGCAAACUCAUCGAAGCAGAAGUAAAUAUCCGAAUGAUGAAGAAGAGGGCGAGGAGGAAGAAAACACAUAGGGACAGUGAGAGGAGCAGCUAGAGGGACAGCAAGUGGAUCCAUGUGGAUCAAGUACUGCACCAUCAGACUGAGACGUAGAAAGAUGAAGGCCCCAGCAUUUCUCAAAGUCAUUCUAGGUGACAGCUGCCAAAGGAUGACUUUCCAACAUGGACUUCCUAGAUCUGUUAAUGAACUUGUUAGCGAGGUACAAAGAUAGCGUGGACUUGACUUUAACUACAGACUUCAGUUUAUGGAUGCACUAUUUGAAUUGAAUUGAAUUGAUGUUUAUUGGCCAUGAAAGUUUGCACAGACACAGAAUUUACUUUAGCAG